CUUGCCCUUUGAAUGGUUUUAGGUGUUUCCGAAAAAUCCAAUCCACCCUCCAAGGUGGAAAGUGUGCCAUCUCUGCCCAUAAUCCAAAUGGCGUGCCUGAGGCAUAGAAAGCAGCUUUCAGGGAGGCCUUCCUUCCUCUGAGCAAUGGUGGCAUCAUCAGAAAAGUGGAGCUCCUCCAAAAGGAUCUGCUGGAAGCAGAGGACGCCCAUGUGGAGCAGCAUGCGGAGGGCCCUUGCACAACCUGGGUCUUCAGGAAGUUCCUUGCCCAGGUGUUGGCCCAGCUCUCUUCAUGGUUCCAAGAAGGCUGCCCCAGGAAGGCUUGUGGACAGAGGGAGAAGCAUCUCUUCCUCUAUGUCUCUUUUUAUCUAAGAAACCAGUUUGACCAGCAUCCUUCCCCUCGGCUCCCCAGGAGGAAUGCACGGAUCCCUUCGCCUUCCCCCAUCCCUCCAUGGUUGACUAAACCCACUAGGAUCCACUCUUUUGCGUGGAAAUGGGUUCAGGCCUCCCACGAAGAGCAUGAAGAUGCCCUCUGUUAUGGGUUACAUUAUGUCCCCUGCCCCCGAGACCGUAUGUUGAGUCCUAACCCUAGUAUUGCAGAACGUGAAUUUAUUAGGAGAUAGGGUCUUUAUGGAGGUCAUUAAGUUAAAUGAGGGUGUUAGGGUGGGCUGGUGUCCUGAUAUAAAGGGGAAAUUUGGGGCUGGGUGUAGUGGCUCACACAUAUAAUCCCAGUGCCUCGAGAGGCCAAGGCAGGAGGAUUGCUUGAGGGCAGGAGUUCAAGACCAGCUUGGGUAACAUAGGGAGACCGGUAUCUAUAAAAAAAAUUAAAAACAAAAAAAUUAGCCGAGUGUGGUGGUGCAUGCCUGUAGUCCCAGCUACUCAGGAGGCUGAGGUGGGAGGAUCGCUUGAGUCCAGGAAUUUGAGGCUGCAGUGAGCCAUAAAAAGAUGGGGGACGAUGGAGACGCACAGGGAAAACACCUUGUGAAUGCGGCAGAGAUAAGGGUGAUGCCUCUACACACCGAGGAACUUCAGAGACAACCAGUAAGUCACUGGGAGCUCGGGGAAGGCACAGCGCAGAUGCUCGCUGCCCUCAGAGGGAAGCCAGCCCGCCAACCCCUUGAUCUCAGACCUCUGGCCCCUGGAACUGUGAGAUGAUAGAUUUCUGUCGUUUAAGCACAGUGGUGCUGUGUUAUAGCAGCCCUAGGGAACCAUCCACUAUCAGAACAAAAGCAGGGCUGGACUGCUAGAAGAAAGGAGAGGAGAAUGGCAGAGGAUACCCACCUUGGGGCUGAAUCUGAGAUCACUCCAGGGCUCCCCAGGUUGUUUUGAAGAAUGGAGAUGGAUUUGUGCAGGGCUCACUGUAGAAGCUCAGUGCAGCAUGCGACGCUUAUAAGGCUGCAAUCCCCAGAGCUCAGUCCCUGAAGAGCGCUGCAUUCACAGACAUCAGCCAGCAGACAAACCAGUACCUAUUGUCCCUGACCCCCAGAAUCCAGCAGACAUAUAAAAGAUGGUUGUUAACCCCACUAAGUUUUGGGGUAAUUUGUUAUGCAGCCAUGCAACUGAAAGAAGCAGCUACAAUAUUUUUAUAAUGAAAUUCUUAGCCAGGACCCUCAUAGCCUAGCAAGAAGUUCUGUCUGGAAGAGCCCAGCUUUGGGGUUGGGUAUGUCUGGGUUUUAAUAUGUCAAGAGGGCAGGCCCUGGAGACGGAGCACAUGGAUUUGAAUCCCAGCCUCUCAUAGGCAGGUUAAUUAAUUUCCCUGAAUCUCAGUUUCUUCAUCUCUCAAUGGAG
rnacentral:lncRNA from 10 species